AGAAUCAACGCUGGCGGCGUGCCUCAGACAUGCAAGUCGAACGCGAAAGUUCCCUUCGGGGGGCAAGUAGAGUGGCGCACGGGUGAGUAACACGUAGGUAAUCUACCUUUGGAUGGGGAAUAACAACCGGAAACGGUUGCUAAUACCGCAUAAUGCAGCGGCACCUAAUGGUGACAGUUGUUAAAGCGGGGGAUCGAAAGACCUCGCGUCUGAAGAGGAGCCUGCGGCGGAUUAGCUAGUUGGUAGGUAACGGCCUACCAAGGCUACGAUCCGUAGCCGGCCUGAGAGGGCGGUCGGCCACGACUGACACUGACAUACGGGUCAGACUCCGUACGGGAGGCAGCGAGUCGGGAAUUUUGGGACAAGUGGGACGAAAGCCGUAGACCCAGACCGAACGCCGACGAGAAGGAGAGAAAGUCCCGUACGGUA
rnacentral:rRNA from 1 species